rnacentral:rRNA from 1 species
AGUGGGGAAUUUUGGACAAUGGGGGCAACCCUGAUCCAGCCAUUCCGCGUGAGUGAAGAAGGCCUUCGGGUUGUAAAGCUCUUUCGGCAGGAACGAAACGGUGAGCUCUAACAUAGCCUGCUAAUGACGGUACCUGAAGAAGAAGCACCGGCUAACUACGUGCCAGCAGCCGCGGUAAUACGUAGGGUGCGAGCGUUAAUCGGAAUUACUGGGCGUAAAGCGUGCGCAGGCGGUUGUGUAAGACAGAUGUGAAAUCCCCGGGCUUAACCUGGGAACUGCGUUUGUGACUGCAUAACUCGAGUGUGGCAGAGGGGGGUGGAAUUCCACGUGUAGCAGUGAAAUGCGUAGAGAUGUGGAGGAACACCGAUGGCGAAGGCAGCCCCCUGGGUCAACACUGACGCUCAUGCACGAAAGCGUGGGGAGCAAACAGGAUUAGAUACCCUGGUAGUCCACGCCCUAAACGAUGCGAACUAGGUGUUGGGGAAGGAGACUUUCUUAGUACCGCAGCUAACGCGUGAAGUUCGCCGCCUGGGGAGUACGGUCGCAAGAUU